rnacentral:rRNA from 1 species
AUGAACGCUAGCGACAGGCCUAACACAUGCAAGGUCAGGGGCAGCACAAGGAGCAAUCUGAGGUGGCGACCGGCGCACGGGUGAGUAACACGUAUGCAACCUGCCUGUAAGCGGGGAAUAACCCGUUGAAAGACGGACUAAUACCGCAUAAUACUAAAUUACUGCAUGGUAAUUUAUUUAAACAUUUAUGGCUUACAGAUGGGCAUGCGCAUGAUUAGCUAGUUGGAGAGGUAACGGCUCCCCAAGGCAACGAUCAUUAGGGGUUCUGAGAGGAAGGUCCCCACACUGGUACUGAGACACGGACCAGACUCCUACGGGAGGCAGCAGUGAGGAAUAUUGGUCAAUGGACGAGAGUCUGAACCAGCCAAGUCGCGUGCAGGAAGAAUGUCCUAAUGGAUUGUAAACUGCUUUUGCAGGGGAAUAAAGUGCAUCACGUGUGAUGUUUUGUAUGUACUCUGCGAAUAAGGAUCGGCUAACUCCGUGCCAGCAGCGGC